CGAAAAACGAAGAGGUCGUAUUAAUUGUCGGUUCAACAAUUAAGGAUUGCCGCGCAAUCUACGAGCGACCCGAGUUUUUUUCAGAGAGAUGGCGCGUCGGUCACGUAGUUAGGGGAAAUGAGGCCGCUAAGUUAUCAUUUAAGUCGGGGCUUCGUGUGCGUUGCCUUGCAACUGACACUGACUGGUUAUUCUACGCCGUUGAUCAGUCACUUCGAUUGGAAUUUUAGCUGGUAGUAUGGACAUGGAGCAGUUCAGUUGGAGUCUUAAUUAGCGAAUUAACUGAAACCAUCGAAAAGCCAGAAUGACGUUCUUCGUUAAAAGCGGCAUGUAGUACUGUAGCUGGAGAUCUUUGGAAGUCUGCUAACUUAGCGAAGCAAAAAAAAGCUAUUUUUUAUGAUGUGACAACAGGAGUUGCCGUUUGAUUCUCGUGAAACAUGCUCCUUGGCUGCCAAAUUUUGUCUGAUCAGUAUUAGCAGAAUGUUUCCCUAUGGAAAUGGCCAUGUGGGAUCAGUUGGUUGGCAGGUGACACGUAAAGUUGAAUUUAUGCCUGGUGAUGAUACAAACUUAUGGAGAUUCGCUGGCAAAAAAAAUUAGUCAUUACUUCCAAUGUUCCAAGGUAGGAAAAUUGAUUGGCCCAAUGCCACUUCAAGAUGAUUACUCAGGUGUCAAAGAUGUCACCAGUUACAUAUCCUUUUUUUCCAAGCAUCAUUUGUUGAAAAACAACCAAUAGCCGUGCGACAAAUAGCAGAUACCAACUUUGACUGUGUAUUGCAUGGUUUCUUCGACUCACGUCAGCUACCUAUUAAGAAACCCAUGGAGCGUCGAGUUAUAGAUGCUGCUGGAUAUCGCUUGCCCAAAGAAAAUAUUGAAAAAAUCAGUUUAGUGUCGAAAACCCCCACAUCGUGGCACUUUUCGUCAAAAACCUACUUUAUAAAGGGAAAUAUUGUAAUACGAAAUAUUCAACCAUUCUAGUCGUGAAGAUCUCUUCAACGGGGACGAUUUUAGUAAGUCUGGAAGAACUUUUUGAUCUUGGAAAGAAACACUAAUCAUAUUUAUCUUAGAAUAUGAUAGAGCAAGGGGAAAUAUGUUAAUAUAUCAUUCAAGUCAUGAAUAUUCCUUCAUUGUAGACGAAUUUAGUAAAUCUGAAAGAGUUAAUUAAAACUGAAGAAAUACUUCAACUUAUCUUAUUUCUCUUUAUAAUCUUUCCAAUGCCAGAGUCUAUUUUCCUCUUAUCGUUAAGGGAUAACCAAACUUGAUGUGAUGUAUUCCUAAUAGAGCAAGCAAUAAGAUUUCUUUUUUCAGGAACCCUUCUUUUUUUUGCCGCUGUUGCAAUAAAACAAAUGCAUAUGCUUGCGUUUUUGUCAUCUGGUUGAAAGGCAAUGUUCAUGUUCUUCGUCGGAAAAUGAAAACCGUCAAUACGGAUCUUCUAAAAAGCUGUAUUGAUUAGUUUUAAGUGGAAAAUUUUAUGUCCAAGACUUGAGUGAACUUUUCUCCCAAGAAAACGAUAUCUAACAUUUGACAACAUCUUUGCAACGUCAAAAAUCAUGCACAAUUUCCUCGGCUAUGUGGACUUCCAUGAAAAUCAGAUGCGCAUACACCACAUCUACUUCGAUCAAUGUGAGGAACUGCGUUAUCGUUAUCGUGGAGCUGCCAAUAAGGUUGACACACUGUCGGAAGAGAGCGUACCGCUUCUUCGUUUACGUUGCCCUUAUGUCCGUCACGGCGAGAGCACGGUUGACUGGUCACGUGGCGAAGCAAAAAGCUGGGACAGGUCCGUAUCAUUAGCUAAAAGCGAGGGAAGCGACUCGUAUCCAUACAGCUGGCUGACAGCCAGUUUUGUACGAGUUUUUCCGACUUUAUUCGUACGUUUACAGCAAUUGAAUGUAUCAAUCUGCAUACGGAAACCAGUCGAUACGAGCCCAUUCUGCAAGACAGAGCUCAACUGAAAUUGCCUCGAGAAAUUGAAUAAUUGCUUGCAGAAUGAUCGUAUCUUUGAGUGGUUUCUUUCUAGUUCCGUGGAUCAUUCGUGUGUAUCGAGGCUGGCAAAGAUGACUCACUGCUGGCGGUACCACAACAAUUCUGGUAAGAAUCAUGCAUUUAUUUAUUUAUUUUUACAGAUAAACACAUGCCAGAGAUACGAGAUAGGCUAGCAAGAUUCUUAUGAUGAAUAACCGAUUGAAUUUUCAAUACCUUCGAUAGAAACAUUCUUUAUUAAUCCUCGACUGCAUUAUAUGGUCAAUGAUGCGGUCGAAAUAGUCAUUUCGCUAAAUUAGUACAUUGCCCUUGAGCCAAAAGUAAUCGUCUUUUCCGUUUAUCCUUUGCUCCAACCCAGGGUAUCCGAUCUUAUUAAUCAUGGUUUUUUUAAAGAAAACUAAAAGGCUGGUUAAAUCUCACUACACAAACAGUCGAGAGUGCUCGAGUGGAUCAAGGUGAUACCUGAUUGUUCCGACAACUUUUGAAGCGGAUCUUGGAGGAUAUUUUACGCUGCGCGUGCAUAAUCCUGAAAUAUCACAAGAUGAAUACGAAGUAAGACAGAAAAUAUAAUGGUGGUAAAAAAUUCAAAUGCUUUUUUAUGUACAACUUCAUCUAGGCACAGCAACGUGCAAGAGUAGUAGAUUUCAUAACACUAUCAGUUGUAGCUCAAUGGUAGAGCAUUGACUGUAUAAGCUAAAGGUAGUGGGUUCAAUCCCCAAGAAACACAUGUUGAAUGAUAA